rnacentral:rRNA from 1 species
CAGUAGCCGCGGUAAUACGUAGGUGGCAAGCGUUGUCCGGAAUUAUUGGGCGUAAAGCGCGCGCAGGUGGUUUAAUAAGUCUGAUGUGAAAGCCCACGGCUCAACCGUGGAGGGUCAUUGGAAACUGUUAAACUUGAGUGCAGGAGAGAAAAGUGGAAUUCCUAGUGUAGCGGUGAAAUGCGUAGAGAUUAGGAGGAACACCAGUGGCGAAGGCGGCUUUUUGGCCUGUAACUGACACUGAGGCGCGAAAGCGUGGGGAGCGAACAGGAUUAGAUACCCCCGUAGUCCCUGUCUCUUAUAC